AAGGUAUGGUGAGGACACUUUCUAAGCAUAACAUUAAAUCUCUCCUAAUUCUCAGAGAUAGAUUCUCCAUCUAAACGAUUAAAAGUCGUAAUGUCAUUUCUAAGCUU